ACUUGAAGGCAGGGGCGUAACACAGUUCUGGCUUGCAGGGAGUGGGCCAACUCUCCUGAGGAGCUUUUUGCAUUCCUUAUACAGGAAUCAUAACUUCCCCAUCUCCCUCUCCUUCUUGUACAAAUGCUGACAUGGGGCUCCAUCUGCACUGAGCAUCUUUUGAAGAUGAGGCCACAAGAGACAAAAGAGGCACAUCCCCUGCUUAACGAACUUGCUAAACCAACACUGGCAGCUGCUUACCUGUGGACUUUUGCUAUUCUUGCAGAUAGAGGUCAAAUUCAAUGAGAAUGGAGAAACAUAACCCCAUGAAAUUCACGUCUUAAAAAUAUUUUAACUUCAUGGUAUCCUGUACAUCUUGAUGUGAUGCACUGAGAAGAACACAAUAUUACUUAAUGUAAUAUUCCUGCCAAAAAUACAUAAUCUGAAUAGAAUCAUGAGGAAACAUCAGAGAAACCCAAAUUAAGAGACUUUCUACCAAAAAAAAAAAAAAGACCUGUAAUUAUUUAAAAAUGUCAAAG